rnacentral:rRNA from 1 species
UACGUAGGUGGCAAGCGUUGUCCGGAUUUACUGGGCGUAAAGGGCGUGCAGGCGGUUUGUCUAGUCUAGGGUGAAAGCUCCCGGCUUAACUGGGAGAGGUCCUUGGAUACUGGCAAACUUGAGGGAGGCAGAGGAAAGUGGAAUUCCCGGUGUAGUGGUGAUAUGCGUAGAUAUCCGGAGGAACACCGGUGGCGAAGGCGGCUUCCUGAACCGACACUGACGCUGAGGCGCGAAAGCUAGGGAGCAAACGGG